rnacentral:rRNA from 1 species
UACGGAGGGUGCAAGCGUUGUUCGGAAUCACUGGGCGUAAAGCGCGUGUAGGCGGCUUUCUAAGUCUGAUGUGAAAGCCCGGGGCUCAACCCCGGAAGUGCAUUGGAUACUGGGAAGCUGGAGUACCGGAGAGGAAGGUGGAAUUCCUGGUGUAGCGGUGAAAUGCGUAGAUAUCAGGAGGAACACCGGUGGCGAAGGCGGCCUUCUGGACGGAUACUGACGCUGAGACGCGACAGCGUGGGGAGCAAACAGG